rnacentral:rRNA from 1 species
AUAUCAAUAAGCGGAGGAAGAGAAACUAACCAGGAUUCCCCUAGUAACUGCGAGUGAAGCGGGAAAAGCUCAAAUUUGAAAUCUGGCGGUCUUUUGGCCGUCCGAGUUGUAGUUUCGAGAAGCGUCUUCCGCGCCGGACCGUGUACAAGUCUCCUGGAACGGAGCGUCAUAGAGGGUGAGAAUCCCGUCUUUGACACGGAGCUGCCGGUGCUUUGUGAUGCGCUCUCCAAGAGUCGCGUUGUUUGGGAAUGCAGCGCAAAACGGGUGGUGAACUCCAUCUAAAGCUAAAUACAGGGGAGAGACCGAUAGCGAACAAGUACCGUGAGGGAAAGAUGAAAAGCACUUUGGAAAGAGAGUGAAACAGUACGUGAAAUUGCUGAAAGGGAAACGCUUGAAGUCAGUCGCGUCGGCCGGGAUUCAGCUGGGCCUUUUCUUUGGCCUCGCGUACUUCUCCGGUUCCGACGGGCCAACGUCGCUUUUGAUCGCUGGAAAAGGGCGAGGGGAAGGUGGCACCUCUCGGGGUGUGUUAUAGCCCCUCGUCGUAUGCCCGGUGGCUAGGAGCGAGGACCGCAGCGUGCCUUUUGGGUUGGGGGUUUGCCUCACAAUCCCGCGCUUAGGAUGUUGGCGUAAUGGCUUUAAACGACCCGUCUUGAAACACGGACCAAGGAGUCCAACGUGCCUGCGAGUGUUCAGGUGGAAAACCUGUGCGCGCAACGAAAGUGAAAGUUGGGAACCCUGUCGCGGGGUGCACCGACGCCCGGCCCUGAGCUUUUAGCGACGGUGCCGCGGCAGAGCAUGUACGUUGGGACCCGAAAGAUGGUGAACUAUGCCUGAAUAGGGUGAAGCCAGAGGAAACUCUGGUGGAGGCUCGUAGCGAUUCUGACGUGCAAAUCGAUCGUCAAAUUUGGGUAUAGGGGCGAAAGACUAAUCGAACCAU